UUCUGCCCGCGUAUUCAAAUGUUGUUUGUGGGGGGUAGAGGACAAAAGUUGGCGCCCAAUUCGUGCGCAUUGU
ensembl:ncRNA T03A1.5 ncRNA